GCAUCCCUGUAUUUUUUUUCAUAUAAUGGCCACAUUUGUGCUCCAGACUCUGCCCUCCGGAAAGGGGGUGCAGAUGUUUGUGACUACUCCAAACUUCCUGUAAUCCAUUGCCAUUUCCAGCCAGGGGAAUCGUGGGUUGGCUGCUGUGAAGAAUCAGUGCCUUGGCUGGCGCAGCCUGCCCAUGCUGCCAUUGCUACACAGCUGCUUCGACCCCUUCUUCUUCAGCUGCUGCUUUUCAUGGACUUUCACAAAAGAAAACUCAAGUGGAAGCUGCUAAAAGGCCCCAACCCAUCACACCACAGGCAUGUUUGGAACAUGAUCCUGAGUUGCAGGAGUUCCUGGAGCCCAAUCAGAAGAGUUCUUUGCAUGGGUAAGGAUCAAACUUCUGGAAAACAGAAUGACAGAGUCUUUUUCAUACCAGAUGAUGCUGUGUAAACACAAGGCUUGGUGGUUCAGCCAUAAGAAGAGACUUAUGCUUCUCACCUAAAGUGUUGGAUUGCCUUGUCCCAGAAUGGUUUC
rnacentral:lncRNA from 1 species